GCCUGAGUGGCUCAGUUGGUUAAGCAUCUGCCUUUAGCACAGGUCAUGAUCCCAGGUCCUGGGUUUGAGUCCCACAUCAGGCU
rnacentral:tRNA from 1 species